GCAAGAAUCAAUGUAGACAUCAAGGCCCGCGUCAUAAACUUCCCAUAUGAUUUCCCAUAUGGGAGUUUAUGACUUAGGCUUCGUUGCCUCUGUCGUCACCGUCUUGA